rnacentral:rRNA from 1 species
CCCUUAGAUGUUCUGGGCCGCACGCGUGCUACACUGAGUGGAUCAGCGGGUCAGGUUGCGCUAAAGCGUUUCCUAAUCUUUAAAUCCGCUCGUGAUGGGGAUUGACGGUUGCAAUUUUCUGUCAUGAACGAGGAAUACCUUGUAAGCGCGGGUCAUCAUCCCGCGCUGAAUACGUCCCUGCCCUUUGUACACACCGCCCGUCGCUCCUACCGAUUGAGUGGUCCGGUGAGGCUUUGGGAUCUGAGCGGAAAGAGCGUUUCGCUGUUUCUGCUCGGAAAACUCAGUCGAACCUUAUCAUUUAGAGGAAGGAGAAGUCGUAACA